GCCUUUAGCUGAAAGCACAGCAACAUCUCCUGGAACUGGAUGGCUAUUGCAAGCUCAGCUAUCAAAGUGUCAUCCUUAAAUCCCAAGUGGAGAUAUUCACUCAGUCCCAGGAACUCCAUACUGGCUCCCAUUGUACCAGGUGGUGCUACUGAGCCCUCAGGAGUACUUGGCUCUGACUUUACAGAAGGCAAACCAAGCAAUCAAACGUUACGUGAAACCAAACCAAACAAAAUCAAAGGAACAAUGCACUUUUCUUAUGGAGGUGUUUCUCCACCAUAUGCUGGUGUAGCAUAUGCAGAAGCCCGGAGUGAUGCUGCAAAGCUUUUACAGGGCUCAUUAGAGCUGACCUACUUCUCUGCUGUGUUUUCAACUUCUGGAUAGAGGCAUCUUCCAACUCCUGCUAACAGCAGCAUGGUAGGGAUGUGUUCCCACUUCUGAAACAUAGUUUUGUUCUGCUCCAAGCUUCAGCUUUGCUGGAAUGGCCAAGGUACCUUGAAGUAAGAGUAAAAAACCUAUGGUGACUGCUUUCUCUAAUGCAUAUUUGCACAUCAGCUCCCACGUAAAAAAAAAAAAAAAAGUACCUUCCCUGCCAGGGGAUUUAAUUUUACCAUUUAAUUUUUCACUGUAGUUUGCUUUUGGUUGUGGGCAGAGUCUGCUGGGCUGCAGAAGGACAAAACCUUUGUCGUUUGUUGUGUUUCACCUGGGGACUGCUCUGUAACUCAGCACAAGCAAAAGGAGGAUAUCUGACCUGAAAACAUCCUAGGGUUCCUGUCGUUUACUUAGAGCAAAACCACUGUUUGUCCUACUGACUCCAGGGAGCCUUUGCUGCAGUGCACCUUACUUUGUGUCUGCUGCCUCCACCCUUUUAACCAGACUUCUUCAGGCAGAUAUGCACAUACUGAGUAUGUGAUUUUGGAGCUGACAGAGCUGGGCUAGGCUGAACUGAAACCUGUUCGCAUGGUUUAAGCUCAUAUCAUCCAUUCUUUGGAUCAAAAAUCUGAUUGCCAAAGUGCAUACUAAUGAAAUAAUGGAGACCUAAGGGGACUUGGAAGCCAGCAGUUUGACAGCAGAGGUCUGCUAGCCUGCUUUUCUGACAGUUUCCCUGUCAGACCUUGUUAUGUAGUCACUUCUACAUCUGAGGGAUGACAGAGUGGAUUAGUACAUCCAAGUUGGAUGACAACGAAAACAAACAUCUUUUAUCAGCUAAGCAUCCCCUUUUGGAGCCAUUCCCAUGCUGACGGCUGCAAGGGCCUUCCUGCUGCUUCCUCCUGUGUAAAGGAUGACAUCCAGGAGUGGCAUCCCAGAGCUGAGAAUGUACUUGGCAGUCUGAGCCCAUGUCUUGGGACUGGCAUCUCUGCUGGGUGUCUGCUCGUGACCCUGCAAAUCACAAGCUGUACAACUGGAGAUAAGGCUCUUAAGUUCCUGUAUUCCCAACCAUGAAGAUGUGAAUAACAAUGCACCACGUUGCAUUAAGCAGCAAGGGAUGUAAAGGCUACUGGGGCCAGAGUGAAGGCGAUCUACUGGCUUGCAAUGCCAUCCUGAGUUCCCUGCUAAGGCCUUAUUGCAUUCACGCCCCUUCUACAAAUAGAAAGCAGGAGCACGAGGUGCAAACACAUUUGCAUUUGUUACCAUGAUGUUCCUCCUGCCCAUUGCUGAGUCCUGUGUUUCUGCUGCGACCCAAAGUCUGUUUGCAGAUAUGUGAGCUAUGGCACAAGCCAUUCCUUGCAGCCUGCUGUGUACCUUGGCAUGUUCCUUGCGUGCCAGCAGCCAUUGAGGUGGGAAUGUUGCCUUUGUUAAAAGGACUGAGUUUGGUUCUUGUAUCGAGGUCUCACUCCCUGACCCACUGCUGGAGCAGAUAUGCUGGUGCUAUGCUGGAAGAAGGCUUUUCUAGACAGACAUUAUAAACAAAUUGCUGGUUAAUUUGCUGCUUUCUUAACAUCACUGAUCCUAUAGCUACAUCCUUAAGCAGAUGCGUGUGAAUAUAAACCACCCAGUAGUAAAAUUAUAUCCCAAUUUGGACGCAGAGCAGAGCUUCCUUAUUGCCAGGCUUUCAAGCCUACCAGGAGCUCCAGGGUUGCUCAUGCAGAAAUAGCUGGUCUGCCUGAACAAGCUUAUGAGUGUCGUGUCUCAACAUCUGAGGCAGAAGUGUGAGCCCUCACAAAGGCAGGUGCUGCAUUUUCCAUAGGCAGCGUCAGCUCAGCUUGCUGAGAUGCUCACACUGAGCCUAUGGCAGGUCUGAGGAUGUGCUCCAAAAAGUGCCCAGACCUCUAACAAAUAAACACAUCUCUCUGGAGACA
ensembl:lncRNA